UUAAAUUGAAGAGUUUGAUCAUGGCUCAGAUUGAACGCUGGCGGCAGGCCUAACACAUGCAAGUUGAACGGUAACAGGAAACAGCUUGCUGUUUCGCUGACGAGUGGCGGACGGGUGAGUAAUGUCUGGGAAACUGCCUGAUGGAGGGGGAUAACUACUGGAAACGGUAGCUAAUACCGCAUAACGUCGCAAGACCAAAGAGGGGGACCUUCGGGCCUCUUGCCAUCGGAUGUGCCCAGAUGGGAUUAGCUAGUAGGUGGGGUAACGGCUCACCUAGGCGACGAUCCCUAGCUGGUCUGAGAGGAUGACCAGCCACACUGGAACUGAGACACGGUCCAGACUCCUACGGGAGGCAGCAGUGGGGAAUAUUGCACAAUGGGCGCAAGCCUGAUGCAGCCAUGCCGCGUGUAUGAAGAAGGCCUUCGGGUUGUAAAGUACUUUCAGCGGGGAGGAAGGGAGUAAAGUUAAUACCUUUGCUCAUUGACGUUACCCGCAGAAGAAGCACCGGCUAACUCCGUGCCAGCAGCCGCGGUAAUACGGAGGGUGCAAGCGUUAAUCGGAAUUACUGGGCGUAAAGCGCACGCAGGCGGUUUGUUAAGUCAGAUGUGAAAUCCCCGGGCUCAACCUGGGAACUGCAUCUGAUACUGGCAAGCUUGAGUCUCGUAGAGGGGGGUAGAAUUCCAGGUGUAGCGGUGAAAUGCGUAGAGAUCUGGAGGAAUACCGGUGGCGAAGGCGGCCCCCUGGACGAAGACUGACGCUCAGGUGCGAAAGCGUGGGGAGCAAACAGGAUUAGAUACCCUGGUAGUCCACGCCGUAAACGAUGUCGACUUGGAGGUUGUGCCCUUGAGGCGUGGCUUCCGGAGCUAACGCGUUAAGUCGACCGCCUGGGGAGUACGGCCGCAAGGUUAAAACUCAAAUGAAUUGACGGGGGCCCGCACAAGCGGUGGAGCAUGUGGUUUAAUUCGAUGCAACGCGAAGAACCUUACCUGGUCUUGACAUCCACAGAACUUUCCAGAGAUGGAUUGGUGCCUUCGGGAACUGUGAGACAGGUGCUGCAUGGCUGUCGUCAGCUCGUGUUGUGAAAUGUUGGGUUAAGUCCCGCAACGAGCGCAACCCUUAUCCUUUGUUGCCAGCGGUCCGGCCGGGAACUCAAAGGAGACUGCCAGUGAUAAACUGGAGGAAGGUGGGGAUGACGUCAAGUCAUCAUGGCCCUUACGACCAGGGCUACACACGUGCUACAAUGGCGCAUACAAAGAGAAGCGACCUCGCGAGAGCAAGCGGACCUCAUAAAGUGCGUCGUAGUCCGGAUUGGAGUCUGCAACUCGACUCCAUGAAGUCGGAAUCGCUAGUAAUCGUGGAUCAGAAUGCCACGGUGAAUACGUUCCCGGGCCUUGUACACACCGCCCGUCACACCAUGGGAGUGGGUUGCAAAAGAAGUAGGUAGCUUAACCUUCGGGAGGGCGCUUACCACUUUGUGAUUCAUGACUGGGGUGAAGUCGUAACAAGGUAACCGUAGGGGAACCUGCGGUUGGAUCACCUCCUUACCUUAAAGAA
rnacentral:rRNA from 1 species